ACGGGAGGCAGCAGUGGGGAAUAUUGCACAAUGGGGGAAACCCUGAUGCAGCGACGCCGCGUGAGUGAAGAAGUAUUUCGGUAUGUAAAGCUCUAUCAGCAGGGAAGAAAAUGACGGUACCUGACUAAGAAGCCCCGGCUAACUACGUGCCAGCAGCCGCGGUAAUACGUAGGGGGCAAGCGUUAUCCGGAUUUACUGGGUGUAAAGGGUGCGUAGGCGGCAUGGCAAGUCAGAAGUGAAAUCCCAGGGCUCAACCCUGGAACUGCUUUUGAAACUGUCAAGCUAGAGUGCAGGAGAGGAAAGCGGAAUUCCUAGUGUAGCGGUGAAAUGCGUAGAUAUUAGGAGGAACACCAGUGGCGAAGGCGGCUUUCUGGACUGUAACUGACACUGAGGCACGAAAGCGUGGGGAGCAAACAGGAUUAGAUACCCUGGUA
rnacentral:rRNA from 1 species